rnacentral:misc_RNA from 1 species
ACGAAUUGUUAGCGGAACGGGAACGGCCCGUUCGCCGUGCCUGCGACCAACUCGUUGCGCCGUUCCCGUUCCGCUAACAAUCCUC